rnacentral:tRNA from 1 species
GGCUCCCUAGUUCAAUGGAUAGAAUGAAAGUUUCCGGAACUUUAGAUCCAGGUUCGAUUCCUGGGGGGGCUACCA